rnacentral:rRNA from 1 species
GGCUCAGGACGAACGCUGGCGGCGUGCCUAAUACAUGCAAGUCGAACGCUUCACUUCGGUGAAGAGUGGCGAACGGGCGAGUAAUACAUAAGUAACCUGGCAUCUACAGGGGGAUAACUGAUGGAAACGUCAGCUAAGACCGCAUAGGUGUAGAGAUCGCAUGAACUCUAUAUGAAAAGUGCUACGGGACUGGUAGAUGAUGGACUUAUGGCGCAUUAGCUUGUUGGUAGGGUAACGGCCUACCAAGGCGACGAUGCGUAGCCGACCUGAGAGGGUGACCGGCCACACUGGGACUGAGACACGGCCCAGACUCCUACGGGAGGCAGCAGUAGGAGGGCUGCAUGGCCCACGCGCGGUAUGCCGCCGAACGGAUC